UACGAAGGGGGCUAGCGUUGCUCGGAAUCACUGGGCGUAAAGCGCACGUAGGCGGAUUGCUAAGUCAGGGGUGAAAUCCUGGAGCUCAACUCCAGAACUGCCCUUGAUACUGGCGGUCUCGAGUCCGGGAGAGGUGAGUGGAACUGCGAGUGUAGAGGUGAAAUUCGUAGAUAUUCGCAAGAACACCAGUGGCGAAGGCGGCUCACUGGCCCGGUACUGACGCCGAGGUGCGAAAGCGUGGGGAGCAAACAGG
rnacentral:rRNA from 1 species